UCUCCGUUGGUGAACCAGCGGAGGGAUCAUUACCAGAGUGCCAUAGGCUCUCCAACCCAUUGUGAACAUACCUAUCGUUCCCUCGGCGGGCUCAGCGCGCGGUGCCUCCGGGCUCCGGGCGUCCGCCGGGGACAACCAAACCCUGAUUUUAUCGUGUAUCUCUGAGGGGCGAAAGCCCGAAAACAAAAUGAAUCAAAACUUUCAACAACGGAUCUCUUGGCUCUGGCAUCGAUGAAGAACGCAGC
rnacentral:misc_RNA from 1 species